rnacentral:rRNA from 1 species
AUACGUAGGGAGCGAGCGUUGUCCGGAAUUACUGGGUGUAAAGGGAGCGUAGGCGGGAGUGCAAGUCAGAUGUGAAAUACAUGGGCUCAACCCAUCGACUGCAUUUGAAACUGUUGUUCUUGAGUGAAGUAGAGGUAAGCGGAAUUCCUGGUGUAGCGGUGAAAUGCGUAGAUAUCAGGAGGAACAUCGGUGGCGAAGGCGGCUUACUGGGCUUUUACUGACGCUGAGGCUCGAAAGCGUGGGGAGCAAACAGGAUUAGAUACCCUGGUAGUCCACGCUGUAAACGAUGAUUACUAGGUGUGGGGGGACUGACCCCUUCCGUGCCGCAGUUAACACAAUAAGUAAUCCACCUGGGGAGUACGGCCGCAAGGUUGAAACUCAAAUGAAUUGACGGGG